rnacentral:lncRNA from 1 species
GUUGCUCUCUAACCUCUAUGCAAUACGUGAUUUUUAGAAACCUCCCCCAGAAAUCCACCCCGAGGUGAAAGGAAGCCUCGAGGCCAAAACAUCCAGUGUUUCAGAAAUUCAGGCUCUCGUCAAAAAUUUUGAGGGCAGCUUGCAGUCCCUACACCUCAAAUUUCAAGAGAGUUUGCAACUGUACGAUAAGGUGUUGUCCAGCCCCGGUGGGACCGAGGAGGAGCUCGCCCACGUCCAGCAGAGGCUUUCUAGCACCUUCCGCUGGAUGAAGAGCGAGCUGGCGGCCAGAGAGAGCAAGGGCAAAGCCGACGUAGCCACCGCCACCGACCCCUCGUCCUUCUGGCCGAUCUGCCUCCAGGAGGGCGAGGCCCACGCGCUCCUGAAGCACUACUCUGACUCUCUCCUGAAUGUGGUUCAGAAGAAGCUGGAGGAGGCCCGGAAAACCAGCCUGCCUUGAGGGACCCCCCCCCCCCCCGUUCCUGCCCCUUCCGCACAUUUGCCACGCACAGAUGUCCGUUUCGGUGGGACUCCCAAAGAGCUGAGACCGUGUGACACGAGCACCGAUUCACGUGUUGCCUUUUAGCACUUUGUUCGCAUCCAUAGGAAAAUCUCAAAGGUUCGCCCAGAAACGCUGACAAUGUGAAUGCCUCCUUUUACGGGAAAAGAAAUAAUAAUAAUAAUAAUAAUGUUUUUAUAAGACUGAGGAAAGAGGGAUAAAAUUCAAAAGGGGCGUCUUGAAAUUCUCCUAUGGUUGCUGUUUUAAACUCGGGUUGCAGCACAGCUUUGUAACGGU